ensembl:snoRNA
GUGGUGUACUCAGAGCAGGGGGCCUGAAGAACGACUCCUCUGUUUAUAACACACCCAACAGGAAUCUGAGGUCACGGUGACAAGGGGCACUAAACUUGUGGCUCCCUCUGAACAAAUUCCUUACAUGU